AGCUACCCGGUACACGUCANUGUACAAGGCCCGGGAACGUAUUCACCGCGGCAUUCUGAUCCGCGAUUACUAGCGAUUCCAGCUUCGUGCAGUCGAGUUGCAGACUGCAGUCCGAACUGGGACGUUAUUUUUGGGAUUUGCUUACCUUCGCAGGCUCGCUUCCCUUUGUUUACGCCAUUGUAGCACGUGUGUAGCCCAAAUCAUAAGGGGCAUGAUGAUUUGACGUCAUCCCCGCCUUCCUCCAGGUUAUACCUGGCAGUCUCCUCAGAGUGCCCAGCCGGACUGCUGGCUACUGGGGAUAACAGGGUUGUCGACGUCCUGCUUGGCGGGGACAUUAACCCAACAUCUUCUACAGAGCAACCGAGGACUGAGCAGACAAGCCAUAGCACCCGACAC
rnacentral:rRNA from 1 species